rnacentral:lncRNA from 1 species
AAUAGGUUGGACAAUUUUGACGGACCUGCGGUUGGAGAAGUGGCAGUUGAAGCACAGCUUUAUGAAGAAGCCUUUGCAAUAUUUAAGAAGUUUGACUUAAAUGUUCAGGCAGUUAAUGUCCUCCUCGAUAACAUCAGAAGCAUUGAUCGUGCUGUAGAAUUUGCUUUCCGUGUUGAAGAAGAUGCCGUCUGGAGUCAGGUCGCCAAGGCUCAACUUAGGGAAGGUCUUGUGAGUGAUGCAAUCGAGUCAUUUAUUCGCGCAGACGAUGCAACGCAUUUCCUGGAUGUUAUUCGAGCUGCUGAGGACACAAAUGUGUAUCAUGACCUUGUAAAGUACUUGUUGAUGGUUAGGCAGAAGGUCAAGGAGCCGAAGGUGGACAGUGAGCUCAUCUAUGCAUUUGCAAAGAUUGACAGGCUGGGUGAUAUUGAAGAAUUCAUUCUCAUGCCCAAUGUUGCUAACCUUCAAAAUGUUGGCGACCGUCUCUACGAUGAAGCCUUAUAUGAGGCGGCAAAGAUUAUAUUUGCUUUCAUUUCUAACUGGGCCAAGUUGGCUAGUACUCUGCUGAAGCUAAGACAAUUUCAAGGUGCGGUUGAUGCAGCUCGUAAAGCUAACAGUGCAAAGACGUGG